CCCCACCCCCAGAACCAUGCUGCAGCCAGAGACAAAAGAACAGCUCUGACCCAUUGAGGCAUGGACUCCACGAGACCUCUGAAGGUGUGCUGUGGUACCUGGCACUGGAUGGGCUACCCUUUGCUCCCCACACGCAUCACUGAGCCUUGGGCGCCCAUGACCCUAUCGCCGGUUCAACGGUUGUCCUUCCUUGGACCACUUUUGUGAAGUUACUCUUCUCUUCUUUCGCCAGACUGAGGUACACGCCUGACAAAAUGCUUUCCCAAGAAAGCACAUGUCCAUAUUAUACUUCUUAUAUACUGUAACUGUCACAUGAACAUCACUUGUGAAUAAUCACGUGAUUCAGAUGAGAAAUUUGCGUGUGAUUUAUAGACAUUUCACAUGUUUUCAUACAUUUUGUAUAUAUAGCGCACGUGCUUUUCUUUUUCCGUUUGUGAUUUCAUACAUACAGUAUGAUUCACUUAUUUCCCCACGUGAUUCUUUCACAUGAUUCAUUUAUUUUUGUAAUUAUUUCACAUGAUUGAAUUAUUUGCACGUGAUUUUAUUCAUAUGAUUAAUUGAUUUUCACAUGUAAGUUUCUCAUGAUUCAUUUAU